AAAUGAAUGGAGAUUAGAAUUCCAUAACUUGGCAAACCGCACACUACAUCUUCCUCUCUCCCAACCUAGUCCCUCUACAUCAUUUCUCAAAAAAUGCACAACAUGAUGCAUGGCUUUCUGUCAAGCCAAGACACAAGAAAUUGGGCAUUCUCCUUUGACACUGAGGAUCAGAACGGACACUGAGUCAGAUCCUUUGAGACUUUCCAAACUGCUUUAUAUUAAUCUUGCAUCUCAUUUGUUUAAAAUCCCCGAAUUUGGAUAUUGAUUUUUUUCAUUUCAUCUAAUUCUAAAAUUAAUUUUUAAAUUUUUGAUUCCGUAUAGGUCUCACCUUCCUGCAGAUAUCAUACAAUAAAAUUGAUUAAAUUCUAAGAGUUAAGCUUCGAUUUUCAAGCAAACCCUUGAAAAACUUCUCAUUCAAGAAAAAAAAAAAGAAACCUCCAUACUCGAGCAUUGAAUCAUUGACAGUGUUCAUCAGAACUGUCAGGAGUUGGAGAACUACAUCAACAAAAAUAUAUUUCGCUCUCUAGCACCUCAUAACCAAUGUUUUCUUUCAUACAGAGAAUGGUAAAUCGACAAAAGGGUAAGAAAAAUCAAUCUUCCCCUUUUUGAUCAGUGAUCACAAUAGGAUGAGGUUGUUCAGCACCAUGAAAGAUCCUGCGCUCUAUUUGCAGGGGGGGAAAAACUCACAUUAACGAACACGUUAUCUUUUGCUCUUAAUUAGUGGAUU